GAUGAACGCUGGCGGCGUGCCUAAUACAUGCAAGUCGAGCGAACGGACGAGAAGCUUGCUUCUCUGAUGUUGGCGGCGGACGGGUGAGUAACACGUGGAUAACCUACCUAUAAGACUGGGAUAACUUCGGGAAACCGGAGCUAAUACCGGAUAAUAUUUUGAACCGCAUGGUUCAAAAGUGAAAGACGGUCUUGCUGUCACUUAUAGAUGGAUCCGCGCUGCAUUAGCUAGUUGGUAAGGUAACGGCUUACCAAGGCAACGAUGCAUAGCCGACCUGAGAGGUUGAUCGGCCACACUGGAACUGAGACACGGUCCAGACUCCUACGGGAGGCAGCAGUAGGGAAUCUUCCGCAAUGGGCGAAAGCCUGACGGAGCAACGCCGCGUGAGUGAUGAAGGUCUUCGGAUCGUAAAACUCUGUUAUUAGGGAAGAACAUAUGUGUAAGUAACUGUGCACAUCUUGACGGUACCUAAUCAGAAAGCCACGGCUAACUACGUG
rnacentral:rRNA from 1 species